AGAGACCUGAGGGCCUCAAGCUGCAGCUCCGGGGCACAUCCCGCUGCGCUCCCACGACGGCCCCGCGGAUGGCAAAGUCAGCGAAUUGACCACAAGAGAAGACUCCCUUUCAAACUCUUCAUUCUCUGGUUCAGAGGUUUGAUGUAAUGGUUGUCUCAUCGUACAUGGUCAGCCACAGGAUAUACUUCAUCCAUUUCAGAGCUGUACUCCUGAGUUCCAUGCUAUAAUCAGAAAUAUGUGGCACAUUUUGAACAAAGGAAAUAUAUACCCAACAAAGUGUUAAAAUGGAGCUGCCAACCAGACAAACCCUAGAAAUAUGUAGCCACUUACAGGCAGAACACAACUACAUGUGUUCCCAAUGUGGAAGGCAUUCCGGAAGUGUAUGCAUCCACAUUUCUACAUGAGGCAUCGCCUAUGCAGGCAAUCAAAGGAUGUUGAUGGAUAAGUGUUUCAGGCAGAAUAAUGGCCCUCAAAGAUGUUGACACCAGAAUCUUCAGAACCUUUGCAUAUGUUACCUAACAUGACAAAAGGGACUUUGCUGAUGUGAUUAAGGUUAAGAACUUUGAGAAGGGAAGAUUAUCCUGGAUUAUACAGGUCGACGUUUAUUUCUUUCUGAACUUUCCUGGAGGAUCAUCGGCCAUACUCCAGCAGAAGGGUGGAUUUGAAAAAAUAACGUUUCCACGGCAACAGUGGCAGCAAUUCAGAAAACAUGGAAUGCUAGGCCCAAUCUUAGGGAAGUGGUGCAGCCCAGUUCUAAGGCAAGGAUAUGAGAAGUUGUAUUUAAUGGAGGAAAUGGAACCAAAACCCAGGGGUGCUGGCUGGCCUGGUGCUGAUGUAACUGAAUCAAGGAAAGAUGAGGCUGGUCUGUGGGUGCUGAACAAGCUGCAAACUGAGAUCAACUGUCUCUCCUGGAAAGAAGUGCUGCUGCCAGGGUGAAGAAGCAAAGCUUGGUGAUGUGGAUAAGGCAGCAUCCUUCCUUCUCAGGUCUUCUAGUCUCCCUCCAGAACUCCCAGCAAAGCAGAAAUGUGGUGGGCAGCAUCCCACCUCCAACAUCACAAAGCGGAGUAUGAAAGGGAGAAAGUGAAAGAGGUAAGGGCUAACUUACUAGUUCCAUCAUGCUGUGGCAAAGGCUGCUGGUUGCUUAAAUUAACAUCUGUUCUUCUCUUCAUUCUUAAUAAUAGAAUCCUAAAACUCAGCCAAAGAA
ensembl:lncRNA LINC01500 long intergenic non-protein coding RNA 1500